GUGCCAGCCGCCGCGGUAAUACCGGCAGCUCGAGUGAUAGCCACUUUUAUUGGGCCUAAAGCGUCCGUAGCCGGCCGAACGGGUCCGUCGGGAAAUCCACUCGCUCAACGAGUGGACGUCCGGCGGAAACCAGUCGGCUUGGGGCCGGGAGAUCAGAGAGGUACGUCCGGGGUAGGAGUGAAAUCCUGUAAUCCUGGACGGACCGCCGGUAGCGAAAGCGUCUCUGGAGAACGGACCCGACGGUGAGGGACGAAAGCUUGGGUCUCGAACCGGAUUAGAAACCCGGGUAGUCC
rnacentral:rRNA from 1 species